GUAUUAGCUUCAGCAAUACAGAUACUAAAAUUGGAAUGAUACAGAAAAGAUUAGCAUGACUCUUGCACAA
ensembl:snRNA U6 U6 spliceosomal RNA